rnacentral:misc_RNA from 1 species
UUUUAUGUUACAUUUUUAAGUUGAUAGACUAUAAUGUUACAACUAGAUAAGUUUAUGAACAACUGUCAAAAUUUAUCCAAACAUAAGCAGUCUACAACUCAACAACAAAGUUCAAAAAGGAAGGCCCAAAAUUAAAAAAACAAAUAGACAGAAUCCGGCCAUAAAAUGGAUAAUCCAAUAGGGAGAAAACUUAUCCGACUUGUAUCACAAACAAAGUCACAAUUGGGGAGCUCAGCUCACCCUUGCAAACCAGAUCUAAAUCCAAUAUCAAAAUGGGAAGCUCAGCUCACCCUAAAUCCAACAUCACACAAGCAUCUUAAGUCAAAUGAAUUAGGUUUACAUUACAAGAGUACCUUUACAGUCACUGCGGAGUUCUAAAUUUGAAUAAUAAAAUUAAUAAUUAAUAUAUUAACCAUUUCAAGUUCCCUGUGAGAAAGAAAGCAGGUUAACUCCAAAAUAACAUCUACCUAUCACUUGGAAAAAAAAUAAUUGAACAAGAGUGAGCGUUUAACUUAAAGAGUUUAGUUAUUGAUUAUAAAUAUAAUUUCUAUAGCUAUCUACAACUAAUGCAUUCCUAAGUAUGAAAUGCACGCUAAAUAUAUACAGCAAGUAAAUCAUCUAAUACUCGCACAAGAAGAUAAUUUGGAGUUACACACGUACCCAGUAAAGUGUUUUCAUACAGAACUAUGGAAGCUGAUCCCUUAUCUAGCUCUCUUGAUCUAAGACUAGCCAGCAAGCUCAAUUCAAGCAUGAUUUUCGCUUAAAUCCAAGUGCGGAGGCCAGUGAGAUCUAUUCAAAGUCGUGCUUCAUCCCGAUUUUCCAUAUCUAUAAGGAUCGGCUUUCAGCGAGACUAGCUUAAGCUGCGACUAAACAGAUGAAAGAGAUGCUGCCCUGCAGAAUCCAGAUUCUGCUCCUAUUCAUCUUCUUUUCCCUUUCCCUCUUUUGUUUCUUAUACUUCAGAUCACUAUCUUUUUUUUUUUUUUCCCUUUGCGGGUGUUCUAUCUUGCGAGAGAAAUCUAAAAAAUUUUGGCCAUCUUCCCCUCCUUUCUCCCCUCUUCUUCUUCUCCUUCUUUCCUU